rnacentral:rRNA from 1 species
CCCCUAGAUGUUCUGGGCCGCACGCGCGCUACACUGAACAGUUCAACAAGUCUUAACCUUGGCCGAUAGGUCUGGGUAAUCUUUGAACGCUGUUCGUGAUUGGGAUAGACCUUUGCAAUUAUGGGUCUUCAACGAGGAAUUCCUAGUAAACGCAAGUCAUCAGCUUGCAUUGAUUACGUCCCUGCCCUUUGUACACACCGCCCGUCGCACCUACCGAUUGAAUGGUCCGGUGAAAUCUCGGGACGGCGGCUUGGUCGCUUGCGUCCGACUGCUGAAACUUGAUUAAACCAUAUCAUUUAGAGGAAGGUGAAGUCGUAACU